UACGUAGGAUGCAAGCGUUGUCCGGAAUUACUGGGCGUAAAGCGCGCGCAGGCGGCACUCUAAGUACGUCGUGAAAUAUCCCGGCUCAACCGGGAGGGUGCGAUGUAGACUAGGGAGCUAGAGGUCGGUAGAGGGGGGUGGAAUUGCUGGUGUAGCGGUGAAAUGCGUAGAGAUCAGCAGGAACACCCGUGGCGAAGGCGGCCCCCUGGGCCGUACCUGACGCUGAGGCGCGAAGGCUAGGGGAGCGAACGGG
rnacentral:rRNA from 1 species